ACAAAAAUGUGCAUUAAAAGUUGUGUAAAAAAAAUGAUGUCACGCAUAUGCCCCUAUAUAUAGUAAAAAUUUAUCUUUAGGUUUUCCCUUGAAACUUUAUUUUGAUCUCAAUUUACUCACUGUAACUCACUGUAACUCAAAAAUCAACAUUUUACUCCUGAAACUCAAAAUUUAUUUCACUUUGACCAGUGGACUGUCUCUUCUCCCUGAAACUUAUAGAUGGCCUCUAGAAACAUAUGUGGAACUCAACACCCAAUAAGACUAUGCUACAUGUGCAAUAAAUUUGAUUAUAAAUUUUUAUUAUGCUUUAACAUUCAAUAACAAGAGAAUAUUAAGUUUUAAAGAAAUUGAAGAAAUUAAAAAAAAUAAAAAGAAAUUGAUUAGC
rnacentral:lncRNA from 1 species